CUCAACUCAAGCAAGGCUACCCGCUGACUAG
rnacentral:rRNA from 1 species